AGAGUUUGAUCCUGGCUCAGGAUGAACGCUAGCGGCAGGCUUAAUACAUGCAAGUCGUGGGGCAGCACAGGUAGCAAUACUGGGUGGCGACCGGCAAACGGGUGCGGAACACGUACGCAACCUUCCUUUAAGCGGGGAAUAGCCCAGGGAAACUUGGAUUAAUACCCCAUAAAACAGUGGAGUGGCAUCAUUCUACUAUU
rnacentral:rRNA from 1 species